rnacentral:rRNA from 1 species
CCUACGGGUGGCAGCAGUGGGGAAUAUUGCACAAUGGGCGCAAGCCUGAUGCAGCCAUGCCGCGUGUAUGAAGAAGGCCUUAGGGUUGUAAAGUACUUUCAGUUGGGAGGAAGGCGUUGAUGCUAGUAUCAUCAACGAUUGACGUUACCAACAGAAGAAGCACCGGCUAACUCCGUGCCAGCAGCCGCGGUAAUACGGAGGGUGCAAGCGUUAAUCGGAAUUACUGGGCGUAAAGCGCACGCAGGCGGUUGAUUAAGUUAGAUGUGAAAUCCCCGGGCUUAACCUGGGAAUGGCAUCUAAGACUGGUCAGCUAGAGUCUUGUAGAGGGGGGGUAGAAUUCCAUGUGUAGCGGUGAAAUGCGUAGAGAUGUGGAGGAAUACCGGUGGCGAAGGCGGCCCCCUGGACAAAGACUGACGCUCAGGUGCGAAAGCGUGGGGAGCAAACAGGAUUAGAUACCCCGGUAGUC